CAGCCGCCGCGGUAAUACGGGGGGUGCAAGCGUUAUUCGGAAUUAUUGGGCGUAAAGGGCGCGUAGGCGGUUUUGUCGGUCAGAUGUGAAAGCCCAGGGCUCAACCCUGGACGUGCAUUUGAAACAGCAAGACUUGAGUACGGGAGAGGAAAGCGGAAUUCCUGGUGUAGAGGUGAAAUUCGUAGAUAUCAGGAGGAACACCGAUGGCGAAGGCAGCUUUCUGGACCGAUACUGACGCUGAGGCGCGAAGGCGUGGGUAGCGAACAGGAUUAGAUACCCUGGUAGUCCACGCAGUAAACGAUGUUCACUCGGUGUAGCGGAUAUUAAAAUCUGCUGCGCCCAAGCUAACGCAUUAAGUGAACCGCCUGGGGAGUACGGUCGCAAGACUAAAACUUAAAGGAAUUGACGG
rnacentral:rRNA from 1 species